ensembl:rRNA 5S_rRNA 5S ribosomal RNA
GAAGGCAGCCAUAUCACCCUGUAGCCCAAGACUGGUUACCCACUGAAGCUAAGCAGGGCUGAGCCUGGUCAAUACCUGGAUGGGAGACCUCCUGGGAAAACUAGUGAGGCCAGCA